rnacentral:rRNA from 1 species
AGUCGAGGGGUAUAGUUCUUCGGAAUUAGAGACCGGCGCACGGGUGCGUAACGCGUAUGCAAUCUACCUUUUACAGAGGGAUAGCCCAGAGAAAUUUGGAUUAAUACCUCAUAGUAUAGAUCAACCGCAUGGUUGGCCUAUUAAAGUCACAACGGUAAAAGAUGAGCAUGCGUCCCAUUAGCUAGUUGGUAAGGUAACGGCUUACCAAGGCGACGAUGGGUAGGGGUCCUGAGAGGGAGAUCCCCCACACUGGUACUGAGACACGGACCAGACUCCUACGGGAGGCAGCAGUGAGGAAUAUUGGACAAUGGGCGCAAGCCUGAUCCAGCCAUGCCGCGUGCAGGAUGACGGUCCUAUGGAUUGUAAACUGCUUUUGCACAGGAAGAAACAACUCUACGUGUAGAGUCUUGACGGUACUGUGAGAAUAAGGAUCGGCUAACUCCGUGCCAGCAGCCGCGGUAAUACGGAGGAUCCAAGCGUUAUCCGGAAUCAUUGGGUUUAAAGGGUCCGUAGGCGGUUUAGUAAGUCAGUGGUGAAAGCCCAUCGCUCAACGGUGGAACGGCCAUUGAUACUGCUAGACUUGAAUUAUUAGGAAGUAACUAGAAUAUGUAGUGUAGCGGUGAAAUGCUUAGAGAUUACAUGGAAUACCAAUUGCGAAGGCAGGUUACUACUAAUGGAUUGACGCUGAUGGACGAAAGCGUGGGUAGCGAACAGGAUUAGAUACCCUGGUAGUCCACGCCGUAAACGAUGGAUACU